rnacentral:misc_RNA from 1 species
GAUGAAGAACGCAGCGAAAUGCGAUAAGUAAUGUGAAUUGCAGAAUUCAGUGAAUCAUCGAAUCUUUGAACGCACAUUGCGCACAUUAGCAUUCUAGUGGGCAUGCCUGUUCGAGUGUCAUUUCAACCCUUAAGCCCUGUUGCUUAGCGUUGGGAGCCUACAGUACUGUAGCUCCCCAAAGUUAGUGGCGGAGUCGGUUUCACACUCUAGACGUAGUAAUUUUUUCUCGUCUGUAGUUGAGCCGGUCCCCUGCCGUAAAACACCCAAUUUAUCAAGGUUGACCUCGGAUCAGGUAGGAAUACCCGCUGAACUUAAGCAUAUCAAUAAGCGGAGGA